GGGUUGUGAGGUUAAGCGACUAAGCGUACACGGUGGAUGCCCUGGCAGUCAGAGGCGAUGAAGGGCGUGCUAAUCUGCGAUAAGCGCCGGUAAGGUGAUAUGAACCGUUAUAACCGGCGAUACCCGAAUGGGGAAACCCAGUGUGACUCGUCACACUAUCAUUAACUGAAUCCAUAGGUUAAUGAGGCGAACCGGGGGAACUGAAACAUCUAAGUACCCCGAGGAAAAGAAAUCAACCGAGAUUCCCCCAGUAGCGGCGAGCGAACGGGGAGGAGCCCAGAGCCUGAAUCAGCAUGUGUGUUAGUGGAAGCGUCUGGAAAGGCGUGCGAUACAGGGUGACAGCCCCGUACACAAAAGCGCAUGUGCUGUGAGCUCGAUGAGUAGGGCGGGACACGUGGUAUCCUGUCUGAAUAUGGGGGGACCAUCCUCCAAGGCUAAAUACUCCUGACUGACCGAUAGUGAACCAGUACCGUGAGGGAAAGGCGAAAAGAACCCCGGCGAGGGGAGUGAAAAAGAACCUGAAACCGUGUACGUACAAGCAGUGGGAGCCCCACCACUAAGCCAGUGGUGAACUCCACAUACGCAUCCUUUGCUGAGGAUACGGUUAACGGAGCACAAGCGACGUUCAACCUCAAAAGAAGCAGAGGGGGCUUAGUGGUGGGGUGACUGCGUACCUUUUGUAUAAUGGGUCAGCGACUUAUAUUCUGUAGCAAGGUUAACCGUAUAGGGGAGCCGGAGGGAAACCGAGUCUUAACCGGGCGUUAAGUUGCAGGGUAUAGACCCGAAACCCGGUGAUCUAGCCAUGGGCAGGUUGAAGGUUGGGUAACACUAACUGGAGGACCGAACCGACUAAUGUUGAAAAAUUAGCGGAUGACCUGUGGCUGGGGGUGAAAGGCCAAUCAAACCGGGAGAUAGCUGGUUCUCCCCGAAAGCUAUUUAGGUAGCGCCUCGUGAAUUCAUCUCCGGGGGUAGAGCACUGUUUCGGCUAGGGGGCCAUCCCGGCUUACCAACCCGAUGCAAACUGCGAAUACCGGAGAAUGUUAUCACGGGAGACACACGGCGGGUGCUAACGUCCGUCGUGAAGAGGGAAACAACCCAGACCGCCAGCUAAGGUCCCAAAGUCAUGGUUAAGUGGGAAACGAUGUGGGAAGGCCCAGACAGCCAGGAUGUUGGCUUAGAAGCAGCCAUCAUUUAAAGAAAGCGUAAUAGCUCACUGGUCGAGUCGGCCUGCGCGGAAGAUGUAACGGGGCUAAACCAUGCACCGAAGCUGCGGCAGCGACGCUGAUGCGUUGUUGGGUAGGGGAGCGUUCUGUAAGCCUGUGAAGG
rnacentral:rRNA from 1 species